rnacentral:rRNA from 1 species
GACGAACGCUGGCGGCGUGCCUAAUACAUGCAAGUUGAGCGCUGAAGGUUGGUACUUGUACCAACUGGAUGAGCAGCGAACGGGUGAGUAACGCGUGGGGAAUCUGCCUUUGAGCGGGGGACAACAUUUGGAAACGAAUGCUAAUACCGCAUAAAAACUUUAAACACAAGUUUUAAGAUUGAAAGAUGCAAUUGCAUCACUCAAAGAUGAUCCCGCGUUGUAUUAGCUAGUUGGUGAGGUAAAGGCUCACCAAGGCGAUGAUACAUAGCCGACCUGAGAGGGUGAUCGGCCACAUUGGGACUGAGACACGGCCCAAACUCCUACGGGAGGCAGCAGUAGGGAAUCUUCGGCAAGGGACGAAAGUCUGACCGAGCAACGCCGCGGGAGUGAAGAAGGUUUUCGGAUCGUAAAACUCUGUUGGUAGAGAAGAACGUUGGUGAGAGUGGAAAGCUCAUCAAGUGACGGUAACUACCCAGAAAGGGACGGCUAACUACGUG